CAUAGUUCAGAGGAACUUCUAGUGCAAAUGGGCAUUUCUGUUGCGGUUGAGCUGAGGCUACAGCUUAGUUUACAAAUGACUUCUUGCCUUUCCUACAGGGCUACCAGCCUCAAGGUGGCAGUUCCUAUAGCCAGGGCUACCAGCCUCAAGGUGGCAGUUCCUAUAGCCAGGGUGGGCCAGGUUACUCGGGCAGCAGCACUUCUUAUGGCCAGGUAAGCAAACUGGAUGUUCUGUAGGCACUUCUUUGCUGAUCCCUCUGUGACUGGCACGACUGGCAGAUUUUUCAAAGUGAUGUUUCCUUUAGUAUUCUGUGUCUCAAUUUGCUUCGUGGCUUUUGCUGAGAGUAGGACAGCCUGCUGCACAGA